rnacentral:rRNA from 1 species
UACAGAGGUCUCAAGCGUUAAUCGGAAUUACUGGGCGUAAAGCGUGCGCAGGCGGUUGUGCAAGUCCGAUGUGAAAUCCCCGGGCUUAACCUGGGAAUGGCAUUGGUGACUGCACGGCUAGAGUGUGUCAGAGGGGGGUAGAAUUCCACGUGUAGCAGUGAAAUGCGUAGAGAUGUGGAGGAAUACCGAUGGCGAAGGCAGCCCCCUGGGAUAACACUGACGCUCAUGCACGAAAGCGUGGGGAGCAAACAGG